UGCAGCCGGAUACAGACGGAGAACCACGGGACGCAACAGAGGUGGAGCCGCCCCUCCCUGCCUGUGUGACAAAGAGACUGCGACGAGCCACUGCUCUCUCUCUCUCUCUCUCUGGGUUGGACUCGUUCAUUCGUCUCGCGCUGGUCGCCCGCGCCUCGUCACAACGCGCGCGGGAGAUACGGGCGUCACCCGAUCGCUUAUCAGCCGUUUCCUCGCCACCAAACCCUCUCCUAUAAUCCAUAAAAAUCUUCCGCAGGAAGAACUCCGUUAGCUUCUUUCCUCUGUACGUUGUGGGUUUUUCUCUUCAAAGUCCCUAAUGGCGAUGGUGGCGGAUAUCGGCAGUCUUGCGGUACGGAUCCCGCCGGACCCUGCCGGUCUCGCUACGUCGCGGCAUGUCGGCCGAGAUUUUCAUCGACGAGGGUGGGUUUCGAGGCAAGCACUGCGGCGGAGCCUUGCGGUGAAAUCCAUGAGGAUAGCGGAAAGGGGCGGGCAGGCCCCGGAGUCUGGAUCCUCCAAUGGUCAUCUCUACCCGAAUCUGAACUUUAAGUUGAAUGCUUAUGAGCUUCAGUCAGGCACAUUCAAUGAGAGGGAGACGAUGGUAGCAUCAAAUUCACAAAGGAAAACUAAGAUAGUAUGCACAAUUGGACCCUCAUGUAACACGCGUGAUAUGAUAUGGAAACUGGCAGAAGCAGGAAUGGAUGUUGCAAGGCUUAAUAUGUCUCAUGGAGAUCAUGAAUCACAUCAGAAGAUCGUUGAUUUGGUCAAGGAAUAUAAUGCUCAGUCCAAGGACCAUGUUAUUGCUAUAAUGCUGGACACGAAGGGUCCUGAGGUAAGAAGUGGAGAUGUGACGCAUCCUAUCUUGCUCAAGGAAGGACAGGAGUUUAACUUUACUAUCAAAAGAGGAAUCAGUUCUGAAAACACUGUCAGUGUAAAUUAUGAUGACUUUGUAAAUGAUGUGGAAGUUGAUGACAUUCUUUUGGUUGAUGGUGGGAUGAUGUCACUAACUGUAAGAUCAAAAACUGCUGAUACAGUCAAAUGCAAAGUAAUAGAUGGUGGAGAACUAAAAUCAAGGCGUCAUUUGAAUGUGAGGGGCAAGAGUGCUACUCUCCCAUCAAUUACAGAAAAGGAUUGGGAAGAUAUCAAGUUUGGUGUGGACAACCAAGUCGACUUUUAUGCAGUUUCAUUUGUUAAAGAUGCCAAAGUGAUACACGAACUAAAAGACUACCUUAAAAGAUGCAAUGCAGAUAUACAUGUUAUCCCUAAAAUCGAAAGUGCGGAUUCAGUUCCAAAUCUUCAGUCAAUUAUUUCUGCUUCAGAUGGGGCAAUGGUGGCUCGUGGAGACCUUGGUGCUGAACUCCCUAUCGAGGAUGUCCCUUUACUGCAGGAAGAGAUAAUUAGAAGGUGUAGAAGUAUGCAGAAACCAGUGAUUGUAGCCACAAAUAUGCUAGAGAGCAUGAUAAAUCAUCCAACUCCAACCAGAGCAGAAGUUUCUGACAUAGCAAUUGCAGUUCGAGAAGGUGCAGAUGCCAUCAUGCUAUCGGGUGAAACUGCUCAUGGAAAGUAUCCAUUGAAAGCUGUUAAAGUAAUGCACAAUGUAGCAUCAAAGACUGAAUCAACAAUAUCAAGCACCGUUAAGCACUCAAUUCCUGCAAUGGUAGUCCAGGCUGUAAGUGGCGAGGACUUCUCUCAAAGCCGGAUGAGUGCGCUGUUUGCUUCACAUGCAACAGCAAUGGCCAAUACUGUUGGCACACCUAUUAUCGUUUUCACACAAACUGGUUCCAUGGCGAUACUUCUGAGUCACUAUCGGCCUUCAUCAACUAUAUUUGCAUUCACGAAUGAGGAAAGAGUGAAGCAGAGGCUGUCUCUUUACCAUGGGGUGCUGCCCAUAUACAUGCAGUUCUCCGGUGAUGCAGAGGAGACCUUCUCUAGGGCGAUCAAGUUCCUGCUGGGUCAUGGGCAUCUGAAGGACGGAGAAUAUGUCACUCUAGUUCAGAGUGGAAUACACUCGAUCUGGAGACGGCAAUCUACGCAUCACCUUCAAGUUCGCAAAGUUGGAGGCUGAUGCGAUCUUCGUAUAGGCAAUUCUUUUACCACCCAACCCGAGGACCAGAGGGGCUCAAAUAUGGAGACAGUGGGAGCCCAAAAGCAACUGCCCAAUGGUGAUGUGGCCACGUGGCGAAGUCGUUCCCGUCAAACUCUGACCAAUGAGGGGGCGCCACGUUUUCCACCUGUUCGUUCGCGUCGGGCGACUCUGGGUUGUCUGUUUCCCGUUUAAAGUAAACAUUGUAUUCCAAAUGCGACUUCUCGACGUGUUUACCGCCGUGUCAACCCGCUUCGUGAUUGAAGCAAGAUGCGGGUCCCAUAGCAGAAUGGUCGUGUUGGCGAGACGUGCCCGCAAGGGUAGUACGAACCCGCCCAAUUAUUAUCUGUCUAUUUGAGGACACAACGAAUAAACAGAGGCAAAGGGUCGUUAACCAACCUGAGCGAGGACUUCACGUUCCCCACCCUUCCCGUUCCUUUCGCCUCUUCUGGGUCGCAGGCAAUGGGGCAUCAGCAUCGUCGUCAUCGUCCAAACGACGAGAAGGUAUGUCACAUUCUUGAAACUUCUCUUGGUCAAUAGAUCUGUGGAAUUUAGUGAUUUCUAGGCUAAUGGGAUCGCACAAUGUGGUGGAGGAUUUCUACUUCGUGUGGAAUUCGCUGAGGUUCGAUUGGAUUACUUUUGCUGGGAUGGUAGAAUCGUGGAAUAGGGUUUCCGCAGAUGUUUUAGAUUCUACAGGUUCUUCCUCUUUAAAUCGUUUGGGCCCCGCGGUACAACUUGGACAAUUUGCUCAAGCCCCGAAGAUGGUUGUGAGGUAUGGCACCGAUAUCAAAAUAUGGAAUCGCGAGACUUGAAAAGAAAGCCAAGCCAAAGCGUAAAAACUAGCUCGAUUAGUCUAAUCGUAGUGCGCCUGGGUUUGCUUGUCGAGCAUGUCACUCGUUUCGAAGAUUACCAAGACCAAAUUGUUUGUUCAUGCGUUAUAUCCAUACGUUAGAUCCCCGGGACCAAUUUGUUUGCACGUCAAGAUGUUAAAUGCCAGUGAGACACAUGAAUUACUGCUGCAGUUCUCAGGAAGACGUUUUUUAAGAAAUUGAAAUGGGAUACAUCAAACAAACUUAGGACAUAGCUUGGGAUCAGGAUUUGGGUCGAAGAACCAUUAGGAAGACUUCUUGAGUCUGUUGGACAUUAGCCAUUAGAAAUAUUUUUCCUUGGAAAGGGUUACAUUGGUGGGAUUAGAUCUACCGUGGAGAAAAUUUCUUUGGUCUUUCGGCGGCUUAUUAAUUUGAAGGUCAUAUGAACAUUUUCUUUUUCGUUCAUAUCAAUGUCCAAAAGACUUUUUAAGUUGAGUCUUGUAUUUUUCUUGUCGGUAAAUUUUCUGAGAAAUCAUAGGUUUUAUGAAACAAUUGAGCCCCACCGAGUGCCAAGCAAGCUAUUAUUCUAAUUAGCUAUAAUAACCCAUGCUGUUGGCGAAUCGUGUGAUCUCUAUUUGUUUACCUCCUGUACACAACGUUUCGGGAUUCUUAUUCGAAUAAAUUUAUUCACAUCAUUAAUUUUAUCAUGUUAUGGGAGGGUAACUGGUUGGGAUGAUCGAUAUGAAUUGAUUGUUAGUUAUCCGCUUUAUUGCAUCCUUUUGUUCAGUUUCUCGCUACCUUUCACUAAAAAUUAGUUUUUCUUUUAGAUCCAUUGCUUAUCAUAUAAAAAAUAUCAGUUUUCUUUUAGAUUAUACAAUAGCCACUACGUAGAAAAAGAAAAAGAAAAAGAUUAAUUUAGUUCUAAGCAUAGUUAUUUAGCCACUAAGCAUAGUUUUCUUUUAGAUUAUACAAUAGCUGGACGCACCAUAUUUCAUGAGGAUAUCAAUUAUUCAUGUGACUGAUUACCUUAUGUAGCUGAUGUUGUUUCAUGCAGCCGUGUUCAGAUUACAAAAAGUCAUGUGAAAUAAGAUAUGUAACAGACAAAUCACGGUAAAUAAUAUACUGAGUAUGUAUUAUUAUUAUUACUUUUUGCUCUGUAAUUCGUCAAAAGAAUUAAGCUACAAUUUAUUGUUCAAGUUGCGAAAACGACUUGAUGCGGUUGCUUUUAGGUUUUCGAUGUAAAGGAUGGACUGGUUAAGCCAGGAAAUAAUGGCUACAGCUUACAAGGAAUUUGUUAAUAGCAAUAUCCUUUGGAACAA